rnacentral:rRNA from 1 species
GCAUGUAGUCCUCGCGGCUGUCUUGUGGUGUGUGCGUGCUAGCCCCGCGGCGUGGAGUGUGCUGGACCUGCCCGAGGAGCACCCCACCCGAUGCACGGUUUUACAACGCAGGAACGCGACCGACGCGGGCGUGCCGACAAUCAAGGGCUACCACUGGUGGCGCGCGGCCGCGGCGCUG